AUAUAUGGAGAACAUCCUACAGUUUUGAAUCAAUUGCUCAAGAUAUUUCCAUUGGUGAAUACCAAUCAUAUAUCUGGUAAACUCUGUGUAGAAUGUACUGAUCUUUUCAGUACAAUGACUAUAUUGUUUGGUUAUCAUUCGGAUGAGGGUUUACUGAAGAAAUUGGCAGAAACCAUGUACCAUUUUGGAACCAUCGCAGCUAUUAGAGAAAGGAUAAAGCAAGCUACUGAAAUUUUGUGCACUAAACAUGUUGACGAACUGCAAGCUUUCCUUUCGAACCCUACCAAGCACGUGUGUAAGGCAUCUCUUAGAGUUGCUGUUUUAUUUUCCCAUUUCAAUUUGACUGAAAACUUUACCUGGGAGAUAUUGUGUGACUGUUGGGCAGACGUGAAUGAGAAAACGAUUGCCAAUCUUAUGAUCUGUUGCAAAUGGUUCUUGAUUUGGCAUUUGCGGAAUUUAUGGGAUAUGGCUCAGAAACAUCAGACAAAAGAGCUUUCGAAUAUGUUCACACCACUCUUACAUAAGUGUAAUGAGUUCACCAGUUCAUGUAUCAACAUGAUUCAACAUUUGCGAGGCGAAAAAUUACAUUUUCA